AACGGGUUUAUAUAUUCAUUGAUUUUUCUACUCGCGUUAAAAGCACGUUUGCACAUGCAAUAACAACACGGCAACUUUUCACCCGAAGGACAUCUUGAAAUCCUCCUAAGAAUUCCUGACAUUCAAAGAACAAUGAUGACACAGCGAGAGGAGGGAAUGGGCACACAUUUUUAGACAUCUAGCAUCAAUCAGCAACCCACACACUUGAUGGGGAAAAAAUGCGGAUUCUGGCCAAGCUCUGAGAUGUCGGCUUGGGAAUUAGACGUAGAUGACGGUGUAGUAUCAGGCGAAUGAUCCGGUGAUGUGGUGCAGACUACCAAUAAAGCAAUCAAGCGGUCAGGCAGAUAGGGGUACCGGAGCGUGUUAAAGGGAAACCUGUAGCAGUCAACGCCUUGAUGAUCUGAAAUAUCAGUGUUUGUGACCCUUGGCUGCAUUGAAAUAUACAUGAACGCACAUUUUUCCAAAAAAUUCCCUUGUGGGGUCCCUGUAGAAGACGGCUUGAUGAUCUGAAAUUGGAUUGGCGUCCUUGAUGUGUGUUUGUGACUCUUGGCUACAUUGAAAUGAACGUACAACCUUACUGAUCCGGUUUGUGGGGUCCUGCCUUUGUUGCUAUUUUAUUCCCUUUUCUCAUGAAUUCUAUUGCGCGGUCCAGGUUGAUUAAUCAUUCCCUUAUAGGGUCCAUUGUUCCAUUGUUAAAGAGUCCACACAAGGGUACUUCGGUAAGCUCAUUUAUUUGAGUAGAAAGGGUGGGUACACUCUAUAGAAUUUGUUUGUUUGUUGCCAUCACUUUUGUUCCUGCUUUCACAGCGUUAUCUACACAAAAGUAAAACAACAAUAAAAAUGAAAAAGAUGACGUCGUCAGCAUUAUUCUUGGAAUAAAACAAAAUUCUGAACUAGCAUCUUCGUGAGCAGACCUGUUUUGUAUCACACUUCAGACAGAAGUCCCCGUGCUUGAAAAAAAAUCUUAAAAUUAUUGUGUUCCCUCGAAAUAAUAUUACUGUCCCUCGAAAUUAUAUACUACGUUAGUACUGAACUUAAGGUCAUGACUCAUUGAUCGUUUGCCAAAGUGGUAGCCGAACUAAAAAUUUAAAUGGCAAAAUAAGACGUAGUUUGCUCAUCGACACAUUUUUUCGUUCCCUCAAAACACUAGUCCGUUACCACUUAACUUAAGGUCACGACUCAUUGAUCGUUUGCCAAAGUAGUAGCGGAAGUAAGUUGUUAUAUAUUUGUUAAAUGGCCUAAUAAUACAAAGUUUGUUCACCGACACAUAUAAGCCCAGGUUCACUCGUUGUUAGAUCAAACAUUGACACAUCAGCAGAAACAUGAUGUUCUUAUGACCGCUAUUUGUUAUUCGUGAAUCGAUUAUUGUAUCUUUUGUUUAUGUAUAUUGAUAUAGGACUUACAAGGUGUACAGGAUCAAUUUUUGUCAACAUCGGAUGGAUCAAUAAAUGCCCCUAAACAAGAUGCAUGACAGCUUGGC